UUGGGUUAAGUCCCGUAACGAGCGCAACCCUUGUCCUAGUUACCAGCACGUAUGGUGGGCACUCUAAGGAGACUGCCGGUGACAAACCGGAGGAAGGUGGGGAUGACGUCAAGUCAUCAUGGCCCUUACGGCCUGGGCUACACACGUGCUACAAUGGUCGGUACAAAGGGUUGCCAAGCCGCGAGGUGGAGCUAAUCCCAUAAAACCGAUCGUAGUCCGGAUCGCAGUCUGCAACUCGACUGCGUGAAGUCGGAAUCGCUAGUAAUCGUGAAUCAGAAUGUCACGGUGAAUACGUUCCCGGGCCUU
rnacentral:rRNA from 1 species